rnacentral:misc_RNA from 1 species
CCUCUUCUCAUUAUUAAAAAAUAAUGUCUCUAUUACAAGCCAAAGGAAAUAACAUAGAAUGCUUCUAAUUGGACUAAUUGUCAUUGUAUCUGACAGCAAUUUGUCAAUGUCUAAUUCACCAAUCAUCUCAACCAACUCUAAUUUGCUCUUUCUUUCCUCCUCUCUGGAUGAUAGAUUCCUAUUUGUAAUUACAUUUCUAGGAAGCAAGUUUCAUGUCCUGAGAGGGAGAGAUAGAGAGGUUGCCAAUGAUUAUAAUCCAAAUUCUAUUCGAAGCAAAAUAAAAAUAACACAUCCACAUUGAAAGAAAUUUGACCAUACUUAAAUUAUUUCUGGAUGUUAAUUUAGAUUUCAGAACUAAUUAUAAUGGGACUCAUACUUGACUCUGUCAGUUGAGUAAUAAGCCUUUAACUGCUGCAUUAAGCCAAGCUAGGCAUCCAUCUUAAUAGUUGUUGCAAUGAAAUUUGAUGAACUAUCACUUUCAACUAAAGAAAAAAAGUCCCUUUACCCAAGCACAAAGCCAAAUAAGCUUAUGAAAAUUUGAACUCACUAAGCAGACAUGAUGCAUCAACAGUGCAGUUCCUCAUAAUAAAAGUUUUAAAAGGAAUGAAUUAGACAUGAAGAGGAAUGCACAAACACAAUUGCUAAGCUUAUGAAAACACUGAUGCUGGAGAAAGAACAUAAACACACAAGAAUACAUGCAAAUCAGUUUAAUGAAACAACCUACAACUUUAGUUAUUAAACCAAAUGGAGCAAGACAAAUAAAUAUAUAUAUAUAAGAAUGGAACUUUACAAAUGAUUAAUUAUGUCUGUCGGUGAAACAUUGGAUCCAAUAAUCAUUUCCCAUUAGUCCAUUGCCCAAACCAAAAUAAAUAAACAAACAAAAGGAGUUGUACUAUUAAGACUCUUACCAUCAGAUAUAGCCCCAUGAAAAGGCACUAGGAAGAAUGAAAGAGACAAAACCUAAGGCUAAACAAGAAAAGGGUUAAGAAACAUUCUCCAGCAGCAACAACAUGGGUUCUCACUUCUCACCCAAGAGAAUGAAACAUCAAGGGAGUGUCCUUUCUAGAUGUUGCAAACUAAUUGAAUGCUGUAAAGAGAAGCCAGUGGAUCUUUCCAUGACAGGAAUAGGUUAAUGAAAAACCAGAAUGAACAGACUUUUGCCGGGCUAAAACCUGUUUUAAGGUUCUGUUUGCAGGAAUACUGUAGCAAAACCUAAUCUCUUCGCCUCUAUGGUAUAACCAUGACAAAAGAAGAAAGGAAGGUGUACCAAAAAUGUGAUAGUGAAAAAAAAUGUAUUUAUACAAUGUAAAUUGUGGCUAAGGACCUACUGGGGCUAGUAACAGCCUCCACCACAAGUACUUUGUUGCAUCAAGAUUUUCAAGUCUCGUAAACAUGCACACACAGAGAGAUGCGUGUCCAUCGGACGAGAGAAAAAAAAAAAGAGAAUAACAACAAA